GAUGAACGCUAGCGGCAGGCCUAAUACAUGCAAGUCAAGGGGCAGUAAUGGCACCGGCGGACGGGUGCGGAACACGUGUGCAACCUGCCUUUAUCUGGGGAUAGCCUUUCGAAAAGGAAGAUUAAUACUCCAUAAUAUAUUGAACGGCAUCGUUUAAUAUUGAAAGCUCCGGCGGAUAGAGAUGGGCACGCGCAAGAUUAGCUAGUUGGUGAGGUAACGGCUCACCAAGGCGAUGAUCUUUAGGGGGCCUGAGAGGGUGAUCCCCCACACUGGUACUGAGACACGGACCAGACUCCUACGGGAGGCAGCAGUGAGGAAUAUUGGUCAAUGGGCGCAAGCCUGAACCAGCCAUGCCGCGUGCAGGAAGACGGUCCUAUGGAUCGUAAACUGCUUUUAUACAGGAAGAAACAACUCUACGUGUAGAGUCUUGACGGUACUGUAGGAAUAAGGAUCGGCUAACUCCGUG
rnacentral:rRNA from 1 species